rnacentral:ncRNA from 1 species
ACUCAUGUAACUCAAGGGUUAUGUGGUGCGGCCAUUAAAUUAUGGUCAGCUUGUUUGUCCAGCGUAAGCAAAUACAUUAAGAGGUCUGUCACUGUGGGAGUAGCGCGAUCGCGAAAACAACAUACAGC